AUACGGAGGGGGCGAGCGUUGUUCGGAAUUACUGGGCGUAAAGGGCGCGUAGGCGGAUGAUCAAGUCAGGGGUGAAAGGCCUGGGCUCAACCUAGGAACUGCCUUUGAAACUGAUUGUCUCGAGUCCGGGAGAGGAUAGCGGAAUUUCCAGUGUAGAGGUGAAAUUCGUAGAUAUUGGAAAGAACACCAGUGGCGAAGGCGGCUAUCUGGCCCGGUACUGACGCUGAGGCGCAAAAGCGUGGGGAGCAAACAGGAUUAGAUACCCCAGUAGUCC
rnacentral:rRNA from 1 species